rnacentral:rRNA from 1 species
UACGUAGGGUGCAAGCGUUAAUCGGAAUUACUGGGCGUAAAGCGUGCGCAGGCGGUUUUGUAAGUCUGUCGUGAAAUCCCCGGGCUCAACCUGGGAAUGGCGAUGGAUACUGGGCAGCUAGAGUGUGUCAGAGGAUGGUGGAAUUCCCGGUGUAGCGGUGAAAUGCGUAGAGAUCGGGAGGAACAUCAGUGGCGAAGGCGGCCAUCUGGGACAACACUGACGCUGAAGCACGAAAGCGUGGGGAGCAAACAGG